rnacentral:rRNA from 1 species
GAUGAACGCUCGCGAUAGGCUUAACACAUGCAAGUCGAGGGGCAGCAUGGUCUUAGCUUGCUAAGACUGAUGGCGACCGGCGCACGGGUGCGUAACGCGUAUGCAACUUGCCUCACAGAGGGGGAUAACCCGUCGAAAGACGGACUAAUACCGCGUACACUUGGGAUAGGGCAUCCUGACCCAAGGAAAUGAAAUUCGCUGUGAGAUAGGCAUGCGUCCCAUUAGCUAGUUGGUGAGGUAACGGCUCACCAAGGCGACGAUGGGUAGGGGAACUGAGAGGGUGAACCCCCACACUGGUACUGCGACACGGACCAGACUCCUACGGGAGGCAGCAGUGAGGAAUAUUGGUCAAUGGGCGAGAGCCUGAACCAGCCAAGUCGCGUGAAGGAUGACUGUCUUAUGGAUUGUAAACUUCUUUUAGACGGGAAUAACAAGAGCCACGUGUGGCUCCCUGCAUGUACCGUAUGAAUAAGCAUCGGCUAACUCCGUG